CGUAAAUCGUACGAUUUACGACUGGUCGUAGGAUAUGUUACCGACCAAGUUUACGAGUGUUUCACAAACGUGUCGGAAUAAAUAUCGUACGACUUCCGAUUACCGACCUCGGUUUUAACAGCUCUUUUGUGUGAAGGUCAGAAAAUGGAGUCAACACGCACCUGUCAGUUCGUAAAUAAACAAUUUUGGAUUCUCGAUUGUUCAGAUUGUAAAAGUAGAACGUGCUGGUUGUACGAGAAAACGUUGAAAUGAUAGCCUUACAGAUACUGAGUGUUCUCUCUCAGACUUAGAUGCUACCGUUUCAGGGAAUGAGAAAGGCAAUUAAUGUUAAGAAUCAAUAUCAGAGGUUGAAAACAAAAAACUGAAAGGAAAGAGAAAAGCUGCAGAUGCAAGAACAAAACUUAUAAUGAAAAUAAUAACUCUUGAUUUAUGGAAGGAAUGUGUUGCCUUCAAAGAAUAAAUUACAGAUCUUGUUUCUUAUUUCUUAGGAAUGUAAACUGUCUCAAGGAUUCAAAUUUUAAUAUUUGUUUCAUUGGCAAUAUGUACUUGACAAGAGGAGUAAAAAUCAUUUUCAUGUUCUGUUCAUUUGAAGACAAUUUCAGCUGAAAUUAUUCUUUGACCAACAUAUAUAUACUGUUGAAAUAAAAAAAAAAAUAAUGGUGAAAAUUGAGUUAAAUUAUAUUAUAAAGAUACAUGUAUACAAAUAAUGUGAAGAAAAUGCAACUUAAUUUAAAUACAGGAAAUUAGAAGUUGA